AAUCCCUAAGGAUCUUGUUAAAAUGCAGAUUCUAAUCCAGUAUGUCUGAGAAGGGGCCUGAAAAUCUGCAUUUCUAACAAGCUCCUAGGGGAUGUUGA
rnacentral:pre_miRNA from 1 species